UACAGAGGGGGCUAGCGUUGUUCGGAAUUACUGGGCGUAAAGGGCGCGUAGGCGGUGUGUCAAGUCAGGCGUGAAAGCCCCGGGCUCAACCUGGGAACAGCGCUUGAGACUGGCACGCUCGAGUUCGGGAGAGGAUGGUGGAAUUCCCAGUGUAGAGGUGAAAUUCGUAGAUAUUGGGAAGAACACCGAUGGCGAAGGCAGCCAUCUGGACCGACACUGACGCUGAGGCGCGAAAGCGUGGGGAGCAAACAGG
rnacentral:rRNA from 1 species